rnacentral:rRNA from 1 species
GACGUAGGGUGCAAGCGUUGUCCGGAUUUAUUGGGCGUAAAGAGCUCGUAGGCGGCUUGUUGCGUCGACUGUGAAAACCCGCGGCUUAACCGCGGGCUUGCAGUUGAUACGGGCAGGCUAGAGUUCGGUAGGGGAGACUGGAAUUCCUGGUGUAGCGGUGAAAUGCGCAGAUAUCAGGAGGAACACCGAUGGCGAAGGCAGGUCUCUGGGCCAUAACUGACGCUGAGAAGCGAAAGCAUGGGGAGCGAACAGG